rnacentral:rRNA from 1 species
CACUGAAUAUUUUAAAUGGCCGCGGUAAAUUGACUGUGCAAAGGUAGCAUAAUCAGUAGUUUUUUAAUUAAAAGCUUGUAUGAAUGGUUGGACGAAAUAAAAUCUGUCUUUAUUUAAUGAUUAGAAUUUAAUUUUUAAGUUAAAAAGCUUAAAUUUAAUUAAAAGACGAGAAGACCCUAUAGAUCUUUAUAAUAAUUUAUUUAUUUGUAUUAAAGUUUAUAUUUUAUUUUAGGUAUUUUAUUAUUUUAUUGGGGUAAUAAAAAGAUUUAAAUAAUUCUUUUUUUAUUAAACAAUGAUAUUUGAUUAAUUGAUCCAUUUUUUUU